rnacentral:rRNA from 1 species
AUUGAACGCUGGCGGCAAGCCUAACACAUGCAAGUCGAACGGUAACAGGAAGAAGCUUGCUUCUUUGCUGACGAGUGGCGGACGGGUGAGUAAUGUCUGGGAAACUGCCUGAUGGAGGGGGAUAACUACUGGAAACGGUAGCUAAUACCGCAUAACGUCGCAAGACCAAAGAGGGGGACCUUCGGGCCUCUUGCCAUCGGAUGUGCCCAGAUGGGAUUAGCUAGUAGGUGGGGUAACGGCUCACCUAGGCGACGAUCCCUAGCUGGUCUGAGAGGAUGACCAGCCACACUGGAACUGAGACACGGUCCAGACUCCUACGGGAGGCAGCAGUGGGGAAUAUUGCACAAUGGGCGCAAGCCUGAUGCAGCCAUGCCGCGUGUAUGAAGAAGGCCUUCGGGUUGUAAAGUACUUUCAGCGGGGAGGAAGGGAGUAAAGUUAAUACCUUUGCUCAUUGACGUUACCCGCAGAAGAAGCACCGGCUAACUCCGUG